UCAAUUGUCUUAUAAUUGAAGACUGGAAUGAAUGGUUAAACGAAAUUAAGGCUGUCUCGUUUAUAGUGUUUAAAAAUUGGCUUUUAAAUGAAGAGAUUUAAAUUUAAUUAAAAGACAAGAAGACCCUAUUGAGCUUUAAAUAAUUUUUAGGUUAUAAAUAUUAUUGGAGAUUUAAAUUUGGAAGAUUUUUUAGUUGGGGCGACUAAGGAACAAAUAAAGCUUCCUGUUGUUAUUAAAACUGAUAUGUUUUGACCCAGUAUAAUCUGGUUGAAAGAGAUAGUUACCAUAGGGAUAACAGCAUAAUCUUCUUUGAGAGUUCUUAUCGAAAAGAGGGGGUGUGACCUCUAUGUUGGACUAAAAUAUCCUAAAAAUGUA
rnacentral:rRNA from 1 species